GCCGGGUGCAGUGGCGAGCACCUGUAGUCCCAGCUACUUGGGAGGCUGAGGCAGGAGAACAGUGUGAACCCGGGAGGCGGAGCUUGCAGUGAGCCGAGAUCGUGCCACUGCACUCCGGCCUGGGCGACAGAGUGAGACUGUUUCAAAAAUAAAUAAAUAAAUAGAUAAAUAAAACAGUGUUUCAACCAGAGGUUCACAGACAACCUGUGGGGAUUUUUUUUUUUUUGGCGGAGUUUUGCUUUUGUUGCCCAGACUGGAGUGCAAUGGCGCGAUCUCGGGGCUCACCACAACCUCCGCCUCCCGGGUUCAAGUGAGUCUCCUGCCUCAG
rnacentral:SRP_RNA from 1 species